rfam:Ictidomys tridecemlineatus contig127989, whole genome shotgun sequence.
GUGGUUGUGGCUCAGUGGUAGAGCACUUAUCUCACAUGUAUGAGGCACUGGGUUUUAUAUUCAGCACCACA